rnacentral:rRNA from 1 species
CAGUCGCCGCGGUAAUACGAAGGGGGCUAGCGUUGUUCGGAUUUACUGGGCGUAAAGCGCACGUAGGCGGACUUUUAAGUCAGGGGUGAAAUCCCGGGGCUCAACCCCGGAACUGCCUUUGAUACUGGAAGUCUUGAGUAUGGUAGAGGUGAGUGGAAUUCCGAGUGUAGAGGUGAAAUUCGUAGAUAUUCGGAGGAACACCAGUGGCGAAGGCGGCUCACUGGACCAUUACUGACGCUGAGGUGCGAAAGCGUGGGGAGCAAACAGGAUUAGAUACCCCAGUAGUCCCUGUCUCUUAUAA